rnacentral:rRNA from 1 species
UAGGGAAUAUUGCACAAUGGGCGAAAGCCUGAUGCAGCCAUGCCGCGUGGGGGAUGAAGGCCUUCGGGUUGUAAACCCCUUUUCUGAGGGAAGAAUCUCCCGGGGAGGAAAUGCUCCGGGGCUGACGGUACCUCAGGAAUAAGCAACGGCCAACUCCGUGCCAGCAGCCGCGGUAAUACGGAGGUUGCAAGCGUUGUUCGGAAUAACUGGGCGUAAAGGGAGCGCAGGCGGUUUGAUUAGUCUGAAGUGGAAUCCCGGGGCUUAACCUCGGACGGGCUUUGGAUACUGUCAAACUUGAGUGCGUGAGAGGAGAGCGGAAUUCCAGGUGUAGCGGUGAAAUGCGUAGAUAUCUGGAGGAACACCGGUGGCGAAAGCGGCUCUCUGGCACGACACUGACGCUCAUGCUCGAAAGCGUGGGGAGCAAACGGGAUUAGAUACCCCGGUAGUCCACGCCGUAAACGUUGUGCACUAGGUGUGGGAGGUGUCGACCCCUUCCGUGCCGAAGUUAACGCAUUAAGUGCCCCGCCUGGGGAGUACGGCCGCAAGGCUA